rnacentral:rRNA from 1 species
CAGCCGCCGCGGGAAUACGUAGGGUGCAAGCGUUAAUCGGAAUUACUGGGCGUAGAGCGUGCGCAGGCGGUGUUGUAAGACUGAUGUGAAAUCCCCGGGCUCAACCUGGGAACUGCAUUGGUGACUGCAACGCUGGAGUGCGGCAGAGGGGGAUGGAAUUCCGCGUGUAGCAGUGAAAUGCGUAGAUAUGCGGAGGAACACCGAUGGCGAAGGCAAUCCCCUGGGCCUGCACUGACGCUCAUGCACGAAAGCGUGGGGAGCAAACAGGAUUAGAUACCCGCGUAGUCCCUGUCUCUUAUAC